rnacentral:rRNA from 1 species
UACGUAGGGUGCAAGCGUUGUCCGGAAUUAUUGGGCGUAAAGAGCGUGUAGGCGGCCCGAUUAGUCCGCUGUGAAAGUCCAGGGCUCAACCCUGGAAUGCCGGUGGAUACUGUCGGGCUAGAGUCCGGAAGGGGCGAGUGGAAUUCCUGGUGUAGCGGUGAAAUGCGCAGAUAUCAGGAGGAACACCAAUGGCGAAGGCAGCUCGCUGGGACGGUACUGACGCUGAGACGCGAAAGCGUGGGGAGCAAACAGG